rnacentral:rRNA from 1 species
UGGGGAAUAUUGGACAAUGGGCGCAAGCCUGACCGAGCGACGCCGCGUGCGGGAUGAAGGCCCUAGGGUUGUAAACCGCUGUCAGUAGGGAGGAAAUGCAUCAGGGCACUCUCUGGUGUUUGACCGAUCUGCAGAGGAAGGCCGGGCUAAGUUCGUGCCAGCAGCCGCGGUAAGACGAACCGGUCGAACGUUAUUCGGAAUCACUGGGCUUAAAGAGUGCGUAGGCGGCUUUGCAGGUGAGGUGUGAAAUCCCCCGGCCCAACCGGGGAACUGCGCUUCAAACCGUGAGGCUUGAGGGAGAUAGAGGUGAGCGGAACUGAUGGUGGAGCGGUGAAAUGCGUUGAUAUCAUCAGGAACACCUGUGGCGAAAGCGGCUCACUGGAUCUCUUCUGACGCUGAGGCACGAAAGCUAGGGUAGCGAACAGGAUUAGAUACCCCUGUAGUCC